GUCCAGCUUCUCAACAUGAGGCUCCCUGCUCAGCUCCUGGGGCUGCUGAUGCUCUGCCUGCCUGGAUCCACGGGAGAUGUUGUGAUGACCCAGACCGCACGCUCUCUGUCCAUCGCCCCUGGAGAGCCAGCCUCCAUCUCCUGCAGGGCCAGUCAGAGCCUCCUGCAUAGUAAUGGAAAAACUUACUUGAGUUGGCUUGUGCAGAAGCCAGGCCAGGCUCCUCGGCUCAUGAUUUAUCAGGUUUCCAAUCGGGAAUCCUGGGUCCCUGACAGGUUCAGUGGCAGUGGGUCAGGGACAGAUUUCACUCUCAAAAUCAGCAGGCUGGAGGCUGAAGACGCUGGAGUUUAUUACUGUUACCAAGGUACACAUGCUCCGUACACGUUCGGCGCAGGGACCAAGCUGGAAAUCAAACGGAGUGUGCAGAAGCCAACUAUCUCCCUCUUCCCUCCAUCAUCUGAGGAGGUGACAGCUGGAAGUGCCUCAGUUGUGUGCUUCAUUAAUAGCUUCUAUCCAAGAGACAUCACCGUCAAGUGGAAGGUGGAUGGCUCUGAACGCUCACAAGGCAUCCUGAACAGUUACACAGAUCAGGACAGCAAGGACAACACCUACAGCCUCAGUAGCACCCUGGCGCUGACGGCUUCAGAGUACAAUCAGCAUGAGAGGUACACCUGCGAGGUCUCCCACGCUGGCCUGACCUCACCCGCUGCCAAGACCAUCAACAGGAGCGAGUGCUAGAACCAGAGGUCCCACAGCAGCACCACUGCCUGCCCCUCAGGCCCACCCAGCCUGGAGCUUCCUCCUCAGAUCCCCAGCCCUUUUCCAGAGAGACCCACCCCUCACAGUCCUCCUCCAGCCUGCUCUCCACUCGCCCUCCCCUCCCCCUUGGCUUUAAUCAUGCUGAUUCUUGGGGGAAACAAUCAAUAAAGUGAAUCUUUGCACCUGAGAA